AUGGCGGAGUGGAUCCCUCCUCCAGAAUAUCACAUGAAAGUCAAUGUCGAUGCAGCGGUUGCCAGACAUGGGGGCUUCGGGACAGCAGCAGCAAUUUGCCGAGAUGGCAGUGGGGAGUUUCAAGGGGCGUUAGUGACCCGUUUCAAUAACAUCGAUGAUCCUAAAACGUUGGAGACUUUGGCAAUACGUGAAGCUCUGGCCCUCGCGGAUGACUUGCUCUUCCACAGGAUUUCAGUGGCGUCUGAUUGUAAGAUGGUUGUUGAUGCGAUCAAGCAAGGCACGUGUGCACAAUAUGGGGCAGUGGUACAUGAAAUCAUAGACCGGUCUAGAGUUUUUUCUUCGUGUUUAAUUAGUCAUGAAUUUAGAACCUCGAAUGUUGAGGCUCACAAAUUAGCAAAGCAUGCAUUAUCCCUGGGUUUUGGCCGUCAUGUCUGGUUAGGUCACCCAGAAAACUUGGAUUUCGUCCCUGUAAAUAUUGUGACGGGUGAAUAA
rnacentral:rRNA from 1 species